ACAGGAAGACCCGGCCCUAGCCGUGGGAAGCACUGUUAAAUGAACUGGGGUCCCAGAACAGAGAGGAGAAAGUGAGCUGAGCCCAGCGUUCAUCUCGCUUUGCAUCAUGGGCCUCUGCUGAAGCUCCUACCACGGAGCUUUUCCCAGCGUGAUGGACUGAAUGCCUAACUCACCAUCCUCCUCUAGGUCCCUCGAAGCACACAGCAUCCCGAGUGAUGCCUACAGCAUCCCGAGUGACUCGCGCAGUCCCAAAGACAGCGUUGACCCACUGAGUCUUUAAGUAUCUGCUCUAUCAAACCAGCCCCUCACGGACCCUGGACACCUGACAUCCAGCAAGCUUUGGGGACCACUCUGUAAACAGCAUCGUAACUAGUCACCUGACUCAUCCUCUGUUCUGCAAACCUGGGAAUCUGAGGGCGGCAGCAUUCACACACAGUGAGAGCCUGGGCUCUGCUCUCAGGACCUGCAAGUCUCAGGUGCCUUCACCUGCACUACAUCUGCACUGCCCUCGCUGCAGUGAGUAGACCAGACCCGCCUCUGCCCCGCCCACUCGGAUCUCUGCGGGCUACGCCCCCGCUGUUCUCUUCCUUCCCCUGUCCCUCCAUCCUCUCUUCACCUUCUGGCAUUUUCCACUCUGACACUGACCUUUGCGUUGACACAGUCAGUCAAUAUGUGAAACCCUUGCUUUUCUCAACCUAAAAUAAAUCCAUAAUUAAUUCAUUAA
rnacentral:lncRNA from 1 species